CACGCUCUGCAGAGGGAGGAGCUGCCUCGGAGAUAAAAGGCAGCAGCUCCUCCUCUGUAUCCCACAGCUUCUUGCCCUAUUGUUGCCGAGCCUUCCUACAGGGACAGCCCAUCCCUCUGCAACCUGCCAGGCUCUGCAGUGCUGUCCUGAGGAGACUGGAAGCAGCCAGCCUCCCUCGUCACCCUGCCCAUCAGCUUCCUGGAAAAAGGACAGAAAAGAGAAGCACCUACAGCAGCUGCAGAACAACACCUGAGAAAAUGAGUUGGGUGUACCCUGAAGCCUUGAAACCAGAAGUCAAAUAACACCUAGAAUGUUUUUAUGUCAUGAUUUCCUGGCCUAUUUCAUUAUGUAUGGAAAGCUGACCUGUGGUGUUACUACCUGUGCCUACAGCAAGCAUUCACUGUGUCCUUAUGGAAACUGAAUUGUUAAGGAGCCAUCCGAACAUGAGAGUGUCCUCUGAUGAUGCUGGAUUCUUCCCUGUCUUCUCCUGGGAAUCUAACUGUGAUUGAAAUAUCUGGGAGAAGGAACCCUCUUCCACAAGCAUCUUCAAAAUCAUCAGUUUCAUCCAGGCUUACUAAAAUAGCAUUUUGUAACUAAGUUGGACUUCUGUCUUAACAUUGCAAUUAUUAUUACGGAACAACAUGUGUAUAUUGAUAUACAGAGCCUAUAUUCCAUUUUUUCUCCCAUGCUAACACUUAUAAUUAAUAAGGUUUUUUCCAGGUUGGUAUUAUGAAUGAGAUUGGAUUUGAUGAACAACAAAUAAUACUGAAGCUGAGUGUUACCCAAGUCCAAAACUGAUGUGCAUUUUUUCUUUUAAAUUAUUAAACGUGUGGCUACUAAGUUUCUAAAUUCAUUUCAAUGCAUAUGGCCAUGAACAGUCACAUGAGUUAUACCAAAGCUGACUGUUGUUGCUUCUGUGAAAACGUUUCAUGGGAGAAAAGAGCCAGGUGUGGUUGGUUUGCUGUUGCCAGUCCAAGGUACUGCUGAGCGGAGCCACGAGAGGGCACUGGAAAGGAGGAAAGAGGCAAAACAAGCGCUCCCGGGAAUCAGCAGCCCAGCACACACCAGGAGCUCUGCUCCCUGUAAGUAACUAGAACAAAUGAAGGUCCAACAGGUCACCAGUUCAUUCCUGCAUAAAAGGAAAAGCAAAACUUAAGAGGUCUUCCCAGCCAGGCUCAGAGGGCUGAAGCCUGCCAAGGGAGCAGAGAAGGCUGCUGGUACCCAGAGGAUGUGCUGGGGCACCAGGAGGAACAGGCAGGGACAGCAGAAAGUGGGGCCCUUAGCUGCACAAAUGUGCACAGCUGUCCACAAAGGUCACACGAUCCCACUCUGCCCAAAGGCUACAGAGAGAAAGGGAGGUGGAGGGGGGCUGUAUAAAGCAAUUAGCCUUUCCCCAAAGAUGCGUUUAAUUUCACAAAAGAGUGGGCUGUCUGUGUGAAGAGAGAUCCAGUGGUUCCAGUGUAGGUAAGCAGUAAGAAAAGAAAAAAUAAAAAACAUUUGUCUGAAGACAUCAUGGUUACUUAGCUGAGCUCAAUGCAUUUGAGGAGAUAUUGGUCAGUAUUUCAUGCUGCACUGCAACACAUUCGUGUUCAUGUGAAAAUCAGCUCCUCUGAACCAUGAUUGUCAUUUGUUGGACAAAGUAAAUAAUGAAGGAUGACAGGAUUCAUCUUUUGAUCUUAUUUCUGAUUUUGUCUUUCAAAAUUAACUGAUGUUAACAUUUGCUUAUGUGACAAAUGCAGCCUGUAAAAAGAGAGAAGCCCAUUCCUGCUUUUUUGAUUCCAGAGUUGUAUCUGGGAAUGGAUUUCCAUUUUUCAUUAAUCCCUUAAGAGAUUUGCAGACAGGUAUAUGCUCGGUUGUAUGACAUCAAACAGUACACACAAGAUGAGUGAACCUGACUUGUGGUCUGCCAGCAAACAUUCCGUUCUGUCGAUCCAGUCUGGGUUAAUCCUUACAGGGACAUGCGAUAUUGUAAAUAAAGAGGGUCACUGAACAAA